GUGCUUGCUUCAGCAGCACAUGUGCUAAAAUUGGAACAAUGCAGAGAAGAUUAGCAUGGCCCCUGCACAAGGAUGACAUACAAAUUUGUGAAGCAUUUCAUAUCUUA